rnacentral:tRNA from 1 species
GCCUUCGUGGUGUAGUGGUUCUGCACGCUGGGCCGGCAUUUCAGAGGUCCGUGGUUCGAUUCCCGGCGAAGGCG